GUAAGAAACUUUAUUUCAAAAUCAAUAUUUUAAACCUAGGGUUGAUCUGCAGAAAGUAGCGAAGAGACUGCUCCACACUGCUAAGGAGGCGGGACAUGUCUGUGACGCCAACUGUACUCACUCCUAAUCCCUCCUUCUAUUAAUUCUAUUACAUCAUAAUAGUUAUUUGUUUAAUCAUAUUGUACUCUGUAUUGUACUAUCUCAAUAUUGAUAAAGUAAGGAAGAUUAUUGUACCCAGUGGAGGAAAAAUACUUUAUUUUAUCCUUAUAUUUUCCACAGGGUGUCCCAACAAAAACCAUGGGAAUUAAGUGACAACUUUUACAUCGUCUUUGACCCACGCGGUAUUUUUUGUGAACACAAAGUAUUACACAUAAAAUAAACAAUAGAAACUCUCGUCUUGAGAUUUCUAUAAUUUGGUCCUCCAUUUUCUUACAGUUACUUUCAAAAUUGACGAACUUUAUUCCAGUCCCCCGGUUAAAAGGUCUUAAGAUCUACAACCGUAUAUUGAUACUCACUUUGACAUUAUCAAUAAGCAGUGUCGUCUCUUAAUUCCCAUGUUUAUGGGACACUCUGUAUAUUUUGUUUCUAGCUGCAAAUCUUUGUAACAAAACCAAUUAACAGUUCAAAUCAUUUUCAUGCACUUUCAAACUUCCAACUUUGCUCUAAAAUAAUUUUAUAAUCAUCAUUUAAUGUAUUUAAAAGAGAAGCAUUAUAUACAAAAUGUAAAAAACAAGCAUUGUUUUCUAAACAAGCAAUUUUAUAGAUUUUUAUUUUAUCAGUACUUUUUUAGAUUUAUUAUGGCUGUUAAAUUGUAUUUGGUGGGUUGAAAAGUGUUAGUCAUACCAUAGAAAUAUAUAAUAAAAUAAAAUUUUUUUACAUUU